rnacentral:rRNA from 1 species
CCCGGGAGGGGAGUGAAAUAGAACCUGAAACCCUGCACUUACAAGCUGUGGAAGCACAUUUCUUGUGUGACCGCGUACUUUUUGUAGAACGGGCCAACGAGUUACGUUAAGUUGCAAGGUUACGCAAGUAAGGUGCGGAGCCGUUGCGAAAGCGAGUUUUACCUGAGCGUUCAGUUACUUGCCGUAGACCAGAACCCGGGCGACCUACCACUGAGCAGACUGAAGCGAAAGUAAAAUUUAGUGGAUGUCAGAACGCAUGAUCCUUUAAAAGCACGAGGAUGACCUGUGGGUAGCGGUGAUAUUGCAAUCGAGCCCGGUGAUAGCUGGUUCUCCCCGAAAUAGCUUUAGGGCUAGCCUCAAGGUGAGAGAUACGGA